rnacentral:misc_RNA from 1 species
AAGUCGUAACAAGGUUUCCGUAGGUGAACCUGCGGAAGGAUCAUUAAUGAAUAUCUAUGGUGUUGGUUGUAGCUGGCUUCUCGGAGCAUGUGCACACCCGCCAUUUUUAUCUUUCCACCUGUGCACUUAAUGUAGAUCUGGAUAACUCUCGCUUUCACGAGCGGAUGCAAGGAUUGCCGUGUCGCAAGACCGGCUUUCUUUGAACUUCCAGGUCUAUGUACCCUUACACACCCCAAUUGUAUGAUGAAGAAUGUAGUCAAUGGGCUUUAUGCCUAUAAAACAAAAUACAACUUUUAGCAACGGAUCUCUUGGCUCUC